UACGUAGGGUGCAAGCGUUAUCCGGAAUUAUUGGGCGUAAAGAGCGUGUAGGCGGCCACGCAGGUCCGUUGUGAAAACUGGAGGCUCAACCUCCAGACGUCGACGGAAACCGUAUGGCUAGAGUCCGGAAGAGGAGAGUGGAAUUCCUGGUGUAGCGGUGAAAUGCGCAGAUAUCAGGAAGAACACCAAUGGCGAAGGCAGCUCUCUGGGACGGUACUGACGCUGAGACGCGAAAGCGUGGGGAGCGAACAGG
rnacentral:rRNA from 1 species